GGAGAAGAUAUACACUGUGGGGAGAAGAAGACAGCUUCAUUCUAAAGGUUUCAUUGGUUGUCGCAAUAAAACCAAAACCAAUAUACUGCAUUCAUGAAUCAUGUUAAAUGUAUCAUGACAACCUUGCGAUUGUUAUGUUAUUCACAGAAAACAUCUAUGGCGGCUGCUGGUUGUAUGUAAAUCUGUAAAUUUCGGCGAGAUAUUUACUGUACUGUCUGACUUUGAAUCACAUUUCAUCAACCUAGAGUGAAAAUGAACAGAUCAUUCCGUGCAGAAACGAGAAGCAGAACCAAAGAUGAUGUCAAGCGUCUCAUGCACACCGUUGACAAAGUGCGAAAAUGGGAGAAGAAAUGGGUGGCAGUUAGUGAUACUACCAUGAGGAUAUAUAAAUGGGUUCCUGUGUCCAUUGAGAAGAGGAAAAAGAAGUCCCUAGCCAACAAGGAAAAUCAGAGCACCAAGAAUAUUGAAACACCCAGUCCAUCGUUUUUGGGAGAGGAUUCAAACACAGGAUUUUCGGUGACAUCCGACUCGAUGGACACAGACUUCCAGCAGAUAAACUUCUCGGAGGAUUCCAACUCCCAGUCGAUGCCCGCGCCGGGUGGAGGAAAGCGGCCAUAGCGUGCCGCUCCAUCCCUACAACCGGUCAGCCAGCGGAGACUCUUACCGUGCCAGUGACGGCCCGGCUCUUAGCACCCGACCAACGUCCGGAUCAUGACGGCAUGGAAAUUGCAGCUGCUUUAUGCAGUGGCUAUAUCGUUUUAGGGCACGCUCGGCAUCGAGCAAGCAGCCCGCGUAGGGAAACGGAAGGUUGUCAGUGCAGCGAUCAUGUCAUCCCAUAAGAGUGUUUGUGAAUGGGGCUAGGUUACAGGUGCGUAUUUUACGCUGAUGACGGCCAUUUGAUCUGUUCCCGAUCUCAUCUGUCUGUCCCCUGUCUGGUCGGUUCAAGCCAGCCCGGAUUUGCUUCAGGGCUCGGUUAGCGUCAUCACAGAACGGCGACCAUCGAUUCCCUCACACAGUGCUCUCACAUCAUCUGUGUUUUAUGGUAACGGUCCUGGAUGCUCGCGAACGUCUUUUGAACGAGCACAGUCAUGUCAUAAAAUACAUCAAACGUUCAAAA